AUGAACGCUGGCGGCGUGCCUAAUACAUGCAAGUCGAGCGAACAGACGAGGAGCUUGCUCCUCUGACGUUAGCGGCGGACGGGUGAGUAACACGUGGAUAACCUACCUAUAAGACUGGGAUAACUUCGGGAAACCGGAGCUAAUACCGGAUAAUAUAUUGAACCGCAUGGUUCAAUAGUGAAAGACGGUUUUGCUGUCACUUAUAGAUGGAUCCGCGCCGCAUUAGCUAGUUGGUAAGGUAACGGCUUACCAAGGCAACGAUGCGUAGCCGACCUGAGAGGGUGAUCGGCCACACUGGAACUGAGACACGGUCCAGACUCCUACGGGAGGCAGCAGUAGGGAAUCUUCCGCAAUGGGCGAAAGCCUGACGGAGCAACGCCGCGUGAGUGAUGAAGGUCUUCGGAUCGUAAAACUCUGUUAUUAGGGAAGAACAAAUGUGUAAGUAACUAUGCACGUCUUGACGGAACCUAAUCAGAAAGCCACGGCUAACUACGUG
rnacentral:rRNA from 1 species